rnacentral:rRNA from 1 species
UCGAGCGAGACCUUCGGGUCUAGCGGCGGACGGGUGAGUAACGCGUGGGAACGUGCCCUUUGCUACGGAAUAGUCCCGGGAAACUGGGUUUAAUACCGUAUGUGCCCUUCGGGGGAAAGAUUUAUCGGCAAAGGAUCGGCCCGCGUUGGAUUAGGUAGUUGGUGGGGUAAUGGCCUACCAAGCCGACGAUCCAUAGCUGGUUUGAGAGGAUGAUCAGCCACACUGGGACUGAGACACGGCCCAGACUCCUACGGGAGGCAGCAGUGGGGAAUCUUAGACAAUGGGGGCAACCCUGAUCUAGCCAUGCCGCGUGAGUGAUGAAGGCCUUAGGGUUGUAAAGCUCUUUCAGCUGGGAAGAUAAUGACGGUACCAGCAGAAGAAGCCCCGGCUAACUCCGUGCCAGCAGCCGCGGUAAUACGGAGGGGGCUAGCGUUGUUCGGAAUUACUGGGCGUAAAGCGCACGUAGGCGGACUGGAAAGUUGGGGGUGAAAUCCCGGGGCUCAACCUCGGAACUGCCUUCAAAACUAUCAGUCUGGAGUUCGAGAGAGGUGAGUGGAAUA